rnacentral:misc_RNA from 1 species
CUCGCCCAUCUUCGGAUGGAGAAGUCGAGCCUCUACCUUUCGGUUCUCUUGGAACAAGACGGAAGAGAGUCACUCUUACCGUCGCGCAUACCAAAAGCGGGUCUGCCGCCUUCGUUUCUCUUUCUUCAGCGAAUGACUUUGGAUCAGCGCUCGCGCGCCGUACCGCAGCCCUUUGGGCUGCUGGCGCUCCGCGAGGGCGCGGCACGAGCCGCGACGGCCGGUCGGCCUUGCGAGGCUUCGCCUCGAGGUCAACAGCUUGUUACCGGCAGAGCGCGGUCUUUAGGGCUUGUAGCUCAGUUGGUUAGAGCGCGCGCUUGAUAAGCGUGAGGUCGGAGGUUCAAGUCCUCCCAGGCCCACCACUUCCUUAACACGAAGGUUAUCAGGGGCCGUAGCUCAGCUGGGAGAGCGCCUGCUUUGCAAGCAGGAUGUCGUCGGUUCGAUCCCGUCCGGCUCCACCAAAACGCGAUCUCGAAGAGAUCGUCGCUUCAGCCGCCACGUUGCGGUUUGGCAAGCGCGCGAUCCGCAGGAUCGUCGCGGUUCGCGACGGUCUUUACAGACCGCGUGUGGGUGUCGAGCAGAGAUGGUGAGAAAAAAGUCAUUCGAUAAAAGAGUUUGCGUCGAGCCUCGUGCUCCGCGCCUGUUCUGUUUGACAUCGUAAAGAGAAGAUUUGUUCGAACUUCAUGGCUGUAAAGCUGUGAUUUGUCGCAAGGGACGCUCAAUCCCUUGCCUAUGAUGGGUUUGCCUAACCGCGCCCUCGAACGGAUCUCGAGAAGCUGGUCUUUUUGUGCCAAUUCCAUUCGAGCUAAGCCCCGCACAGGGUUUGGCUCAUGCGACAAUCCCUUCGGGAUUGCGCUUAGCUAACCUCGUAAGGGGUUUGGCUUGAACGACGAUCCCUUCGGGAUCGCGUGAUGGGUAUUGGCAAUGAGAACGAUCAAGUGUCUUAAGGGCAAUUGGUGGAUGCCUUGGCAUGCACAGGCGAUGAAGGACGUGAUACGCUGCGAUAAGCUACGGGGAGGUGC